ACUCUGUAUCCACUCAAGAGCCUUUGAAAUAACAGCCAAUAACAAGAAAAAAAUGUGGACAUUAAUAAACUGUUUGGGUGGGCCUGUGUAUGUUCUUUUCUUUCCUGUCUCUCCACUAAACUGAAACCUUAAUGUUGAAUAACAAACCCUGACCUACAAAUAAUUUCUCUAUUUUCUCAUGGUUUCCUUUCUUGGCCUUUUAGGAGGCAGGAAAGUAGCACGGUCUGGAUGAUAUCUUGACAACCAACAUUUCCCUUUGGAUGAGAAAAACAACUGUUAUUCUAACAGGAGAUGAUUUCUGUGCUAACACUUCUGACCAAUGCCAUGCCCACUUGAAGGCACAGGAAUUCUGGUGUUCUGACUUCAGUAAGCCACAAAGACCAAGGACUCUCCUGAAAGGUGUUGAUUCGCACUGCUAUAAGUCAGACUCUUCAAGCAGCACAAGGGGCU